GAUGAACGCUGGCGGCGUGCCUAAUACAUGCAAGUCGAGCGAACAGACGAGGAGCUUGCUCCUCUGACGUUAGCGGCGGACGGGUGAGUAACACGUGGAUAACCUACCUAUAAGACUGGGAUAACUUCGGGAAACCGGAGCCAAUACUGGAUAAUAUAUUGAACCGCAGGGUUCAAUAGUGAAAGACGGUUUUGCUGACACUUAUAGAUGGUUCCGUGCCGCAUUAGCGAGUUGGUAAGGUAACGGCUUACCAAGGCAACGAUGCGUAGCCGACCUGAGAGGGUGAUCGGCCACACUGGAACUGAGACACGGUCCAGACUCCUACGGGAGGCAGCAGUAGGGAAUCUUCCGCAAAGGGCGCAAGCUUGACGCAGCAACGCCGCGUGAGUGAUGAAGGUCUUCGGAUCGUAAAACUCUGUUAUUAGGAAAGAACAAAUGUGUAAGUAACUAUGCACGUCUUGACGGUACCUAAUCAGAAAGCCCCGGCUAACUACGUG
rnacentral:rRNA from 1 species